rnacentral:rRNA from 1 species
AGAGUUUGAUCCUGGCUCAGAACGAACGCUGGCGGCAGGCCUAACACAUGCAAGUCGAACGUGAAGCCACCUUCGGGUGGUGGAAAGUGGCAGACGGGUGAGUAACGCGUGGGAACGUGCCUUUCGGUUCGGAAUAACCCAGGGAAACUUGGGCUAAUACCGGAUACGCCCUUCGGGGGAAAGAUUCAUCGCCGAAAGAUCGGCCCGCGUCGGAUUAGCUAGUUGGUAGGGUAAUGGCCUACCAAGGCGACGAUCCGUAGCUGGUCUGAGAGGAUGACCAGCCACACUGGGACUGAGACACGGCCCAGACUCCUACGGGAGGCAGCAGUGGGGAAUAUUGGACAAUGGGCGAAAGCCUGAUCCAGCCAUGCCGCGUGGGUGAAGAAGGCCUUAGGGUUGUAAACCCCUUUCAGCGGGGAAGAUAAUGACGGUACCCGCAGAAGAAGCCCCGGCUAACUCCGUGCCAGCAGCCGCGGUAAUACGGAGGGGGCUAGCGUUGUUCGGAAUUACUGGGCGUAAAGCGCGCGUAGGCGGACCUGCAAGUCGGGGGUGAAAGCCCGAGGCUCAACCUCGGAACUGCCUUCGAUACUGCGGGUCUCGAGUCCGGGAGAGGUGAGUGGAAUUCCUAGUGUAGAGGUGAAAUUCGUAGAUAUUAGGAAGAACACCAGUGGCGAAGGCGGCUCACUGGCCCGGUACUGACGCUGAGGCGCGAAAGCGUGGGGAGCAAACAGGAUUAGAUACCCCCGUAGUCC